AGAAGAAACAAACGCCUACUAUAAAUAGCAACACAGCUACCGUAAUUGGAACCACAAUUGCAACAAUUGUCCCUGAUGAGAUUCCACUACUUCCUGCAAUAUUCCAAACUGAGAGAAUUCCUACUUCGACAUAGUGCAAGUGCGAGUUUUUCUCAAAACUCUAAGUUUGGGGUGGAGGCGACGAUGAAAAUAAGGAAAUGUCCCCUAUUACAUCACUGAGACACAUUCCGCAAUCUUGAGCUUACUAUUGGAACGUAGUUGGACUACUCUGUCUCUGUUUGAUCGUCUUUGUCACAAGUCAAUGAAGCAAGGUCAACAUAUUAUUAUUUGAUUAUUUCGUUGUCCCGAUAAGUUUUUUUCUCCCUGAAAUAAGCUUUAUUGACUUGCUUGUAAUUUAAAAGUAAUAUUUUUUUGACCGGAUUUAAAAAUUAUAUAUAGUUAGAAAACUUUGUAAAGUAUUAUUAGUCCUUCACUGAUUUAUAAAAUAUUGGUUUAAAUAUUUGUUUUUUAUUUACUCAAUUUAAAUAGUCAUGUUGAGAUCAA